GAAUCUUCCACAAUGGGCGAAAGCCUUAUGGAUCAACGCCGCGUGAGUGAAGAAGGAGUUCGGAUCGUAAAACUCUGUUGUAAGGGAAGAACAAGUACAGUAGUAACUGGCUGUACCUUGACGGUACGUUAUUAGAAAGCCACGGCUACCUACGUGCCUGCAGCCGCGGUCAUACGUAGGUGGCAAGCGUUGUCCGGAAUUAUUGGGCGUAAAGCGCGCGCAGGCGGUCCUUUAAGUCUGAUGUGAAAGCCCACGGCUCAACCGUGGAGGGUCAUUGGAAACUGGGGGACUUGAGUGCAGAAGAGGAAAGUGGAAUUCCAAGUGUAGCGGUGAAAUGCGUAGAGAUUUGGAGGAACACCAGUGGCGAAGGCGACUUUCUGGUCUGUAACUGACGCUGAGGCGCGAAAGCGUGGGGAGCAAACA
rnacentral:rRNA from 1 species